UACGGAGGGGGCUAGCGUUGUUCGGAAUUACUGGGCGUAAAGCGCGCGUAGGCGGCUUUGUAAGUUAGAGGUGAAAGCCCGGAGCUCAACUCCGGAAUUGCCUUUAAGACUGCAUCGCUAGAAUCAUGGAGAGGUGAGUGGAAUUCCGAGUGUAGAGGUGAAAUUCGUAGAUAUUCGGAGGAACACCAGUGGCGAAGGCGGCAUCCUGGACCGGUAUGACGCUGAGGCGCGAAAGCUAGGGGAGCAAACGGG
rnacentral:rRNA from 1 species